AGCGAACGCUGGCGGCAGGCCUAACACAUGCAAGUCGAACGAACCCUUCGGGGUUAGUGGCGGACGGGUGAGUAACACGUGGGAACGUGCCUUUAGGUUCGGAAUAACUCAGGGAAACUUGUGCUAAUACCGAAUGUGCCCUUCGGGGGAAGGAUUUAUCGCCUUUAGAGCGGCCCGCGUCUGAUUAGCUAGUUGGUGAGGUAAUGGCUCACCAAGGCUACGAUCAGUAGCUGGUCUGAGAGGAUGACCAGCCACAUUGGGACUGAGACACGGCCCAAACUCCUACGGGAGGCAGCAGUGGGGAAUCUUGCGCAAUGGGCGAAAGCCUGACGCAGCCAUGCCGCGUGGAUGAUGAAGGUCUUAGGAUUGUAAAAUCCUUUCACCGGUGAAGAUAAUGACUGUAGCCGGAGAAGAAGCCCCGGCUAACUUCGUGCCAGCCGCCGCCGUAA
rnacentral:rRNA from 1 species